rnacentral:antisense_RNA from 2 species
GGCUAUGGCGGGCGGGGCGUGGGGGCCUCGUGCCCGCCGGCUUUGUCUAGCAACCGGUUUUCGAGCCACGCCCUGUCCGCCACCUUU